rnacentral:lncRNA from 1 species
UGAUAAAUCUAAAGGAAAUUCACAAGAACAAAAAGAGAUUGAUGAUGAUGAGGAUUUUGAACCUCUACCAAAAGGGUUUAUAAUACCUGAAGAAAGAGCAAAUUUUUCAACACCUCCAGGAAAAAGAUCAGCUCCUAGACCUAAGACUGGUUGAAGUUGAUUAAUUAAUGAAAUUCCAAUAUUGUGAUUAGUUUUUUUGAAAAAAAAA